UAUGGACUAGUAUGGACUAUGCAAGGAAAACGCUUUGCCAAUACACAACAUUUUAAGUCAGCAAUACCAACGGGGAGCAGGUGAUAAAAUUCAGGAAUUACAGAAGGAAAGAUGAUUGGUGCGUCUGAAUGGACUCGAACCAUCGACCCCCACCA
rfam:Klebsiella pneumoniae IS39, WGS project CBWT01000000 data, contig: c407